UACGGGGGGUGCGAGCGUUGUCCGGAAUCACUGGGCGUAAAGGGCGCGUAGGCGGCCUGAUAAGUAGGGGGUGAAAUCUUGCGGCUCAACCGCAAGGCUGCCUUCUAAACUGUCAGGCUGGAGCACGGUAGAGGCAGAUGGAAUUCCCGGUGUAGCGGUGGAAUGCGUAGAGAUCGGGAAGAACACCAGUGGCGAAGGCGGUCUGCUGGGCCGUUGCUGACGCUGAGGCGCGAAAGCCAGGGGAGCGAACGGG
rnacentral:rRNA from 1 species